AUAAUACUCCCUCCGUCUCAAAAUUCUUGUCUUAAAUUCGUCUAGAUACGGAUGUAUCUAAUACUAAAAUAUGACUUGAUACAUCCGUAUUUAAACAAAUCUAAGACAAGAUUUUGGACGAAGGGAGUACUAG
rfam:Triticum urartu cultivar G1812 contig576379, whole genome shotgun sequence.